GGAAGGGUGGCUGAGUCCGGUUGAAAGCACUCGACUCGAAAUCGAGCGUAGGGUUAAACCUACCGUGGGUUCGAAUCCCACCCCUUCCACCA
rnacentral:tRNA from 1 species